rnacentral:rRNA from 1 species
AUACGUAGGGUGCGAGCGUUGUCCGGAAUUACUGGGCGUAAAGAGCUCGUAGGCGGUUUGUCGCGUCGUCUGUGAAAUCCCGCAGCUCAACUGCGGGCUUGCAGGCGAUACGGGCAGACUCGAGUACUGCAGGGGAGACUGGAAUUCCUGGUGUAGCGGUGAAAUGCGCAGAUAUCAGGAGGAACACCGGUGGCGAAGGCGGGUCUCUGGGCAGUAACUGACGCUGAGGAGCGAAAGCGUGGGUAGCGAACAGGAUUAGAUACCCUGGUAGUCCACGCCGUAAACGGUGGGCGCUAGGUGUGGGUUUCCUUCCACGGGAUCCGUGCCGUAGCUAACGCAUUAAGCGCCCCGCCUGGGGAGUACGGCCGCAAGGCUAAA